GGCAGACGGGGCUGGGCUUCGGCAGCACCAUGGCGCGCGUGGGCGGCAUCGUGGCGCCGCUGGUGAAGAUGAUGGACGAGUACUACCCCUUCCUGCCCCCCCGCCGUCUACGGCGUGGCCCCCGUGGUGGCGGCCGUGGCGGCCGCGUUCCUGCCCGAGACCCUCAACGCGCCCCUGCCCGACACCAUCGAGGAGGUGGAGAGCAGGGCCAAGCGGAAGCCGGCGGGUGACCCCAAGGAGAAGAUCGCCCUCCAGCCCCAGGACACGCCCCCCCAGAAGGAGGCCUGAGGGACCCCUGGGGGGCCCGACCAGCACCCGCCACCCGGGGGUCCCCAAAGCUCGGGGGGGGACGAGGGGGGAACUCGGCCGCGGUUUUGGGGACCCCCCCGUGAGGAGGGGACAUCGGGGGAGGAAUAAACAGCUCUGGUGGGGACA